GGGGGGGGGGGGCUAGGAUGAAAUUUGAAAAAAAUAGGCAGGACAGGAGUUUUGAGUAAAAAAAAAAAGGCAGGAUGAGACACUUGCAAAACAAAAGUCAGGACGACAAUUUAGGUAAAAAAAAGUCUGGAUAACGAAAAAAAAAAAAGGCAGGACCGAACAGAGUGAAAAAUAAAAAGGCAGGACAGAGAUUACAGCUAAAAAAAAUGCAGGACAAAAUUUUCAUCCUAGCCCCCCCAUAAAAAUCAAAUGGUAGCUCCCUUAGUGCCUGUGGCUGUGUAUGUGCCACUCUAAUUAAAAAAAAAAUAUAUCAGCAUGACAACGUUAAAAAGUGAAAAUAUAAUGCAAAGGCAUAUAUUAUAGAACUAGUGAGGGUACCUCUGGGGUUGGGUUGGACCCCCCUUUUUUGUUGAUCAAUGCUUUUUAAUGAGGACAUAUGUUUGGAACCCGC
rnacentral:lncRNA from 1 species